UUUUACAGAGGGAGAGACGUAAGGCAGAAGAAGAUUACAUGUACGAGUUGACAGCAUAAUUCACUGGCAAAAUUCCAAAAAGAUGCUAUCAGUCCAAAAGAAAAUUAUUCUGGGGAGCCAUCUGUUCUCCAGCUGCAGAGAUGUUUCUCUAAAGUGCAAUAAGUAUUGUUGAAACCAUUUUUACUGUAGCGGAAGUCAAUCACAGUCCGGAUUCAGAUGGGAGCUGGUUUAAGCAUUCAGAUGAAGAGAUACUUCGUCAUUUCUACCAGCCGCGUCCUAGCGAGUGCAGCUGCCGCUCCUUACCGGACCCACGAGUGAGGAGCCCCGAGGUCAUCACCGAGCAUGAACGCGGGAACGUCUGGGAAGGAAAUCUGAGGCCCUGCUCUGACGGUCAUAACAAAAGCCUUCGAGCCAACCGGCGUGUUCAAAUUCACCACGGCCCUUCCCGCGCUCCCCUCCCCGGAAACUUGACCACCUAGCCCAGAAAGCCGCAGCAGCUUCCUCAGGGACGCUGUCUCCCAUUUCAAACACCCAACCGAGAAAGCAGCACCG
rnacentral:lncRNA from 1 species